AGCGAACGCUAGCGGCGGGCCUAACACAUGCAAGUCGAGCGCAUACUUUCGGGUAUGAGCGGCGGACGGGUGAGUAACACGUAGGUAAUCUGCCCUCUGGUGGGGAAUAACCCGGGGAAACCCGGCUAAUGCCGCAUAUGGCCUUUGGGUCAAAGCCUUCGGGCGCCAGAGGAUGAGCCUGCGUCGCAUUACCUAGUUGGUGGGGUAAAAGCCUACCAAGGGGACGAUUCGUAGCUGGUCUGAGAGGAUGAUCAGCCACACUGGGACUGAGACACGGCCCAGACUCCUACGGGAGGCUG
rnacentral:rRNA from 1 species